CAUAUGUAGCCUUUUAACAGAAAGGGGAAUGCAAGUUGCCUAUGCAACUGUUUCGUUGAGAUUAUUUCUGGAAUCUGAAUAGAUCCAGAGAGGUUGGCAACGAUGGGAAGCAAACCGAUUCGAAGCGAAUUCAUUCGGACGAGGAGGACGGUCUCCCAGCGAAGGCCGAACUACAUUUUUCCUCAAUUUCUCUCGCGGCCGCGAAAGAAGAAGAACCCGUCGUCCUUUCAAGUUCAACGCCACCUUCGCGAGUUCGACUUACAAUCAGAGCAAAAGGGAUCGCGUGAAAAGGGAGUCGCUACGGUGUGCAAGGCGCUUUGUGAACCCACCGAAUCGCUCCUUACGAUUCCAUCAAGCGAAUCUUAUUGUGGUUUCUUGUUGGAUACGCUCUCUCAUUGGACCACUUCGAAGCAAAAUGUGCAUAGUUUCUCGCGUGACUAAUUCGUAGAAGCAACGCGCGUAAACGCUUUAUUUUUGCGGCAAAACAAAAACACUCCUUAGGAAACGAAGGAGCUAUAUAUACUUCAACAGAAAGAAAACGCACGAUUUAUCUCGAGCACGGCGAAAGAAAACAAGAUUUUCAGCAAAUAAAAAAAAUUUUCUGUUUUUGAAAGAGACAGAUGCGUUUUCCUGUAACAUCAUAAGUGUUCCAUAAUUAUUUCUCCUGGAAAUAAAAUGCAAUUGUAAAGGCUAAAUCAGGAUGUCCAGUGAAUUGCGUGCUGCGUGACUUCGCAUGGGUACCUUAUGUACGACGAGAGCACACGUGUUCGGUGAAUCAGCGUAAUAUUCCGAUCAUCACGAGACGCAUUCUCCGUCUCGUCCGCGAGCAGUUUGGAACCUGUCCAGUUUGUCGCAAAACAGCUCACAGGUUGCCGUCAGCUGACACCGCGCCGUUGGCAGAUUCCGUGCUUUGCUUUUUUGGCCUCGCCGGAUAUAAUCGUCACAACAUUUCAGGAAAUUCAAAUAGCCCCUGAAUGUCGUCUUUGAGGAUACCUUAUCAAUUUUAAUCAGAAUCAGAAAAUCGUCACAACACGUCACUACGGUUGAUCGAUACUGAGAAAGUGCCAAAGGACACGGUCGCCUGAACCACGUCACAAUAUUAAAGACGAAGAGGUCUAUUCACACGUCGAUGCGUCAGUUCCGUAUUAAGGACUCAUCUCAAGAGCGCGUCUUUUGUUGCGCGCGUUACGCGUCAUUUAGGAAAUAACUAGAUUCUAGUAUUAUCGCGUUUGACGUGUUUAUAUAUAAUCGUACAUAAUUAUGUAUAAUUAUAUAUGACUAAACUUAUGCGUAAUUAUUUUAUAUAUAUAUAUAUAUAUAUAUAUAUAUAUAUAUAUAUAUACACACACAUAUACACAG